rnacentral:rRNA from 1 species
GACGAACGCUGGCGGCGUGCUUAACACAUGCAAGUCGAACGGAAAGGCCCUGCUUUUGUGGGGUGCUCGAGUGGCGAACGGGUGAGUAACACGUGAGUAACCUGCCCUUGACUUUGGGAUAACUUCAGGAAACUGGGGCUAAUACCGGAUAGGAGCUCCUGCUGCAUGGUGGGGGCUGGAAAGUUUCGGCGGUUGGGGAUGGACUCGCGGCUUAUCAGCUUGUUGGUGGGGUAGUGGCUUACCAAGGCUUUGACGGGUAGCCGGCCUGAGAGGGUGACCGGCCACAUUGGGACUGAGAUACGGCCCAGACUCCUACGGGAGGCAGCAGUGGGGAAUAUUGCACAAUGGGCGGAAGCCUGAUGCAGCAACGCCGCGUGCGGGAUGACGGCCCUCGGGUUGUAAACCGCUUUCGCCUGUGACGAAGCGUGAGUGACGGUAAUGGGUAAAGAAGCACCGGCUAACUACGUG